rnacentral:rRNA from 1 species
ACGGUGAGUAACACGUGGGUAACCUAUCUAUAAGACUGGAAUAACUCCGGGAAACCGGGGCUAAUGCCGGAUAACAUGUUGAACCGCAUGGUUCUACAGUGAAAGNCGGCUUUGCUGUCACUUAUAGAUGGACCCGCGCCGUAUUAGCUAGUUGGUGAGGUAACGGCUCACCAAGGCAACGAUACGUAGCCGACCUGAGAGGGUGAUCGGCCACACUGGAACUGAGACACGGUCCAGACUCCUACGGGAGGCAGCAGUAGGGAAUCUUCCGCAAUGGGCGAAAGCCUGACGGAGCAACGCCGCGUGAGUGAUGAAGGUCUUCGGAUCGUAAAACUCUGUUAUUAGGGAAGAACAAAUGCGUAAGUAACUGUGCGCGUCUUGACGGUACCUAAUCAGAAAGCCACGGCUAACUAC